AACGUAGGAGACAAACGUUAUCCGGAGUUACUGGGCGUAAAGGGCGUGUAGGUGGUUUCGUAAGUCUGGCGUGAAAUUUUUCGGCUUAACCGGGAAAGGUCGUCGGAUACUGCGGAGCUAGAGGACGGUAGAGGCGUGUGGAAUUCCGGGUGUAGUGGUGAAAUGCGUAGAGAUCCGGAGGAACACCAGUGGCGAAGGCGACACGCUAGGCCGUACCUGACACUGAUGCGCGACAGCAUGGGGAGCAAACAGG
rnacentral:rRNA from 1 species